UGGGGAAUAUUGCACAAUGGGCGCAAGCCUGAUGCAGCCAUGCCGCGUGUAUGAAGAAGGCCUUCGGGUUGUAAAGUACUUUCAGCGGGGAGGAAGGGAGUAAAGUUAAUACCUUUGCUCAUUGACGUUACCCGCAGAAGAAGCACCGGCUAACUCCGUGCCAGCAGCCGCGGUAAUACGGAGGGUGCAAGCGUUAAUCGGAAUUACUGGGCGUAAAGCGCACGCAGGCGGUUGAUUGAGUCAGAUGUGAAAUCCCCGGGCUUAACCCGGGAAUUGCAUCUGAUACUGGUCAGCUAGAGUCUUGUAGAGGGGGGUAGAAUUCAAUGUGUAGCGGUGAAAUGCGUAGAGAUGUGGAGGAAUACCGGUGGCGAAGGCGGCCCCCUGGACAAAGACUGACGCUCAGGUGCGAAAGCGUGGGGAGCAAACAGG
rnacentral:rRNA from 1 species